rnacentral:rRNA from 1 species
GUAGGGUCCAAGCGUUAAUCGGAAUUACUGGGCGUAAAGCGUGCGCAGGCGGUUGUGCAAGACCGAUGUGAAAUCCCCCGGGGCUUAACCUGGGAAUUGCAUUGGUGACUGCACGGCUAGAGUGUGUCAGAGGGGGGGUAGAAUUCCACGUGUAGCAGUGAAAUGCGUAGAGAUGUGGAGGAAUACCGAUGGCGAAGGCAGCCCCCUGGGAUAACACUGACGCUCAUGCACGAAAGCGUGGGGAGCAAACAGGAUUAGAUACCCUGGUAGUCCACGCCCUAAACGAUGUCAACUAGUUGUUGGGGAUUCAUUUCCCUAGUAACGUAGCUAACGCGUGAAGUUGACCGCUUGGGGAGUACGGUCGCAAGAUUA